GCCUGGGUGGCUCAGUCGGCUGAGCGUCUGACUUCAGCUCAGGGCAUGAUCUCACACUCCAUGGGUUCAAGCCCCGCAUCGGGCU
rnacentral:tRNA from 1 species